UAGUCCUAAUCCCUGCGAAAACAGAAUUUGAUUAACUUUAUUAUCUCCGGUGAUAUUCAAGGGGUAUAUAUUCGUGGGACAGCCUGUAAGAGCUUAUGGAGAUUACUCACGACACGCCAAAAACGAUUUAAAUAAUUUAGAUAAAAUAAAUAUAAAAAAAGACGGACAUACUUCGCACGUAGUUGCAGUCACUGUUAUAGAUAGGAAAUAGGGAAGGUAGGAUACAGACGGGAAUUUAAUGUAUACGUGUAAGCAACGCUGAAUC